UACGUAGGGGGGCAAGCGUUGUCCGGAUUUAUUGGGCGUAAAGAGCGUGUAGGCGGCCAGGUAGGUCGGUUGUGAAAACUGGAGGCUCAACCUUCAGAGGUCGACCGAAACCAUCUGGCUAGAGUCCGGGAGAGGAGAGUGGAAUUCCUGGUGUAGCGGUGAAAUGCGCAGAUAUCAGGAAGAACACCAAUGGCGAAAGCAGCUCUCUGGGACGGUACUGACGCUGAGACGCGAAAGCGUGGGGAGCGAACAGG
rnacentral:rRNA from 1 species